rnacentral:lncRNA from 1 species
CAGGCCCUUCACUCUUCUACUGAACCACUUUCUUCCAUGUGCACACGCUGAUUUCUCAACCUGGAAUCCUUUCCCUACACCUUUCCUCAAAGGACUGUUAAUGAGUUUUCAGAGGUACUUCACUGAAAUGUAACUACCACAAUGCAUCCUUUCCAUGUGACUAACUUCGCUCAUGGACCAGAAUCACUGCGGCUCUGCCCUGGAGUGGUGCAAAGAGCUCGCAUUCUGUUUGGAAAGCAAAUUAUUUAAAUCCAGUAGAGGACUCUCAAAUGUGGUUGGAAAAUCUAAGAAGACUUCCCAGAGGCAGCAGCACUAGUGUCAGGGAAAGAGCUCACAAAUUCCAUUGCUGUAGAACCCAUGUGUUGAAGACCACUACACUGGAAUCUAGUUUUCUAUCCUAAAAUCUACCUCCUGAGUUUGAGUAAGACUUGAACUAGUUUGCAAAUAUCUGUGAUCUUCACCUUGCCUGCCUGCAAAGCCCAUAAGCAAAUUCAGAAGAGACUUCUACUUGUCCAAAGCAACAUGGAGUAAAGUGGGUCAACUAGAAUUAAAAUAUGCUCCAGCCAAAGGUGACCAUGGGAACCUAUUGAUAAGGCUCUGGGGUCAGAUUCAUCUCUGUUCAGACAACUCUAGCGGUGUGACUCUGAGCAAGUGUUUUUUAACCUAAGUUCCUGCUUCCUCAACUGCAAAUGUAGGAAGGGUAACAUCUUCCUCAAAGUUGUAUGCUGGGGAUAACACAUGAAGGAGAUACCUGGGCCAUAUAAUUAUUUAAGAAAUGUUCAUUUAUUUCUUGAACUACCUUCUACCAACUAUUUGGUCUGAGUUUAUGAAACUGUAAAUUUUGUCUAACAUUUGCCUAACAAAGCAUUAUUACCUUGCUUAAAGAAACACACAAUACAUUCUAAACCAAAAAUAAUUUGAAUGUAAUCCAUUAUUUUGGAUUAAUCUAUAUCAUCACUCCCCUCCCUUAGAGAAGACAGGCCAAGAGUUGGUUGCAAUAACUUUUGAAGUAAAUUGAAGACCUUAUAAUUAACACUUAAGUCGGAGAAGUUAUUAUAUUUUCCAGUGUUUC